ensembl:lncRNA
GUAGAGAUAUCAACGGUGGAUGUAUCAGAGGAACUCCAGAGAAUAUCAGGUAGAGAUAUCAACGGUGGAUGUAUCAGAGGAACUCCAGAGAAUAUCAGGUAGAGAUAUCAACGGUUGAUGUAUCAGAGGAACUCCAGAGAAUAUCAGGUAGAGAUAUCAACGGUGGAUGUAUCAGAGGAGCUCCAGAGAACAUCAGGUAGAGAUAUCAAGUAGAGAUAUACCUUAAGCCUACAAUGAGGCUCCAGGUUUCAGACAAUCCAGCGGGUGUGUGAACACACUUAUAUUGUAGUUGCACAUUCUAACUCACAUGCCAGGCUCACAUAGAUGAUAGGAGACAUACUGACAACAAGAAGUAAGAGACUAUCCAUAGAGAUGAAGGGAGUGAUAACGAGGGAGCGAUAGAGAGAGAUGGAAGGAGCGAGAGAGAGAAAACAGCAGAAUCCUCCUUUGGCAUCUAAAACAACUCCUAAAUCUAAAUCCUCCUUUGGCAUCACACAAAGGACGUCUCAAAGUCUUUUUUGGAACGUUCCUCUUCCAAAUGUAUUCCAGAUAUGCGGUGUAUGUAAACAGAGAGGAGCUCAUUCUUGCCGGGCGGCGGUCGGCAGGGUGAGGAAGAGAAGCCAUGUUCUGAUUUUGGAGCUGUGCCAUAAUGCUGCAUCUGUGCUAAGCCCCUGCCCAACAUUCUGGAUUUAAGAGGGGGACUUUUUAGGUCUCUCUCCCUCCCACUCUCUCUCCCACUCUCUCCCUCUCACUCUCUCUGUGUCUGAGAAGGUUGAAAAUGCAGUCACAUAAAAGGCCCAUCUAAGCAUGAAAUGGUUUCACUUUACUACAGACGAAACACUUGACCACAUACUGCAAACGCAGUCGCUGUGGUUACCCUCAGCACUCCACUAAUAGAAUAAUGAGCUAAGCUGUGGGCUUGUUUUGCAUCGGUGGCAGGUGUCUUUACUGGCUGAAGUGAAUUCAUUCAGUACCAGUUAAAAGUUUGUACACAGCUACUCAUUCAAGGGUUUUUCUUUAUUUGUACUAUUUUCUACAUUGUAGAAUAAUAGUGAAGACAUCAAAACUAUGAAAUAACACGGAAAGCAUUCCAGGUUACUAUCUCAUAAAGCUGGUUGAGAGAAUGCCAAGCGUGUGCAAAUCUGUCAAGGCAAAGGGUGGAUACUUUGAAGAAUCUCAAAUUGAUUUGUUUAACACUUUUUUGGCUACUACAUGAUUCCAUAUGUGUUAUUUCAUAGUUUGAUGUCUUCACUAUUACGCUACAAUGAAUGAGUAGCUGUGUCCAAACUUUUGACUUGGACUGUACAUCAAACAAAGACACACACAAACACACCGUAUGCUACAAACAAACGUGAUAAUGUGCUCUCAUAAACAGACAAACAUUACUUGUACACACAUGCACAGUCUCACACACAAACAGUCGCACAGACGCACACACACACACACAAACAUUUGCACACUCUACAGCACUCUAUUCCCAUUGACUAAUGUGGAUAAAUGGCCUUCUAUAGAACCAUGGCACUGUCUUCCCAAGAAUUAAUAUAAAAAUAAGUGCAUUAGAAGGCUCAUAACCAUUUAUAAAACCCACUUAACUGUGAAGGUGGGGGAAUGAGGUAACAUUUUUAUCAAAGAUUAUCUGUGUCCCCCUCCCUUUCAAAACCCUUCAAUCCAGGGCAUUUAUUCACAAAGAGUCUCAAAGUAGGAGAGCUGAUAUAGGAUCUGUUUAGCCUUUUAGAAUAAGAUGACAUAAACAGGGGGGGAUCUGAUCCUAGAUCAGCACUCCUAGUCUGAGAUAUUUUGUGAAGGUCCAUAAUCUCUGGAAAUAGUACAGUAGCAGAGGAGAAGUCUGGUCUCCAUCUACAGACAAUAUGAAUGUACUAGACAUCAUCCUCAUCACACUGUCUCCACGAGGUGAGUUCUACAGUAGGGGAGUGUUCUAGGCGUGGGCUGAAUAUUAGAGGAAUCACUCAAAACUAUUUUCUCUCUUUCUCAGGAAGUCAUGACUUAUCCCAUCCCAACUCACUGUAAAAAGUGUCACUUCUGAGCCACCUUAGUGGAGAAAAGUGCCCAGGAGGGGAGAGAGAGAGCAGUGGAGUCAGGAUGGAGACCCUGAG